rnacentral:sRNA from 1 species
CAAAACCAAGGUCCUGCUGCUCCUGAUGCUGAAAUGAAACAGAUGGUACAACCGCUGCUACAAGGACAAGCAUCUAGCUCCAUGGAAUUUACU